rnacentral:lncRNA from 1 species
CUCUCUCAUCCAGACUGGAGUGCAGUGGUGCGAUCUUGGCUCACUGCAACCUUCACCUUCCGGGUUCAAGCAGUUCUCAUGCCUCAUCCUCCCAAGUAGCUGGGAUUACAGGCAUGUGCCACUAUGCCUGGUAAUUUUUGUAUUUUUAGUAGAGAUGGGGUUUCAUCAUGUUGACAGACUGGUUGACCUGACCUCAGGUGAUCCGCCCGCCUCAGCCUCCCAAAGUGCGAGACUACAGGCAUGAGCCACCGCGCCUGGCCUGACAAAUUUUCGUAAUGAUACUUCCAUGUGUUACACCAGAUUUUAUGAGUAAACAUUUGUCUUAUUGUUUGAAGUUCUGUAUUAGCAUGUUUCUUCAGUGUAGUUUUUUUGUUUGUUGUUGCUGCUGUUGUUGUUGUUUUGAGAGGAAGUUUCGCCAUGUUGCUCAGGCUAAAGUGCACUGGCGCGAUCUCAGCUCACUGCAACCUCCGCCUUCCAAGUUCAAGCCAUUCUUCUGCCUCAGCCUCCGGAAUAGCUGGGACUACAGGCACGCCACCACCCCCGGCCAAUUCUUGCAUUAUUAUUCGAGAUGGUGUUUCACCAUAUUGUUCAGGCUAAUCUCAAACUUCUGACCUUGUGAUCUGCCCACCUUGGCCUUCCAAAGUGCUGCAAUUAUAGUCAUGAGCCACUGCGC